rnacentral:rRNA from 1 species
GACAGCAGCAGCCGCGGUAAAACGUAGGGUGCAAGCGUUAAUCGGAAUUACUGGGCGUAAAGCGUGCGCAGGCGGUUAUAUAAGACAGAUGUGAAAUCCCCGGGCUCAACCUGGGAACUGCAUUUGUGACUGUAUAGCUAGAGUACGGCAGAGGGGGAUGGAAUUCCGCGUGUAGCAGUGAAAUGCGUAGAUAUGCGGAGGAACACCGAUGGCGAAGGCAAUCCCCUGGGCCUGUACUGACGCUCAUGCACGAAAGCGUGGGGAGCAAACAGGAUUAGAUACCCGCGUAGUCCCUGUCUCUUAUAA